GGAUAAAAUACCAAUUCACAAUAUGCUCCCAUGCUCCCUUGAGUAAUCCCUUGAUAUGAUAUGGAUGGAUGGAUGGAGGGCUGCAUGGUAGGAGGGCAAGAGGCUGGUU